rnacentral:misc_RNA from 1 species
UUUCCGUAGGUGAACCUGCGGAAGGAUCAUUACAGAGUUCAUGCCCUUCGGGGUAGAUCUCCCACCCUUGUGUAUCAUUAUCGAAUGUUGCUUUGGCGGGCUGCGUGCCUCGCGCGCCCGGAUCUCGGUCCGGCCCGCCCGCCAGAGGACCCCUAAACUCUGAAUGUUAGUGUCGUCUGAGUACUAUUAAAUAGUUAAAACUUUCAACAACGGGUCUCUUGGUUCUGUCAUCGAUGAAGAGCGCAGC